rnacentral:tRNA from 1 species
GGAGUAGUUCAGGGGUAGAACGCAAGCUUCCCAAGCUUGAUGUCGCGGGUUCGAUUCCCGUCUCC